AUUGAACGCUGGCGGCAGGCCUAACACCUGCAAGUCGAACGAGUGGCGGACGGGUGAGUAAUGUCUGGGAAAUUGCCUUAUGGCGGGGGAUAACUCCUGGAAACGGUAGCUAAUACCGCAUACCAUCGGAUGUGCCCAGAUGGGAUUAGCUAGUAGGUGGGGUAAAGGCUCACCUAGGCGACGAUCCCUAGCUGGUCUGAGAGGAUGACCAGCCACACGGGAACUGAGACACGGUCCAGACUCCUACUGGAGGCAGCAGUGGGGAAUAUUGCACAAUGGGCGCAAGCCUGAUGCAGCCAUGCCGCGUGUAUGAAGAAGGGCUUCGGGUUGUAAAGUACUUGCAGCGGGGAGGCGUUACCCGCAGAAGAAGCACCGGCUAACUCCGUGCCAGCCGCCGCGGUAAUAC
rnacentral:rRNA from 1 species